GAUGAAGAACGUAGUGAAAUGCGAUAAGUAAUGUGAAUUGCAGAAUUCAGUGAAUCAUCGAAUCUUUGAACGCACAUUGCGCCCGCCAGUAUUCUGGCGGGCAUGCCUGUUCGAGCGUCAUUUCAACCAUCAAGCCCCCGGCUUGUGUUGGGGACCUGCGGCUGCCGCAGGCCCUGAAAACCAGUGGCGGGCUCGCUGUCACACCGAGCGUAGUAGAUUUUCAUCUCGCUCAGGGCGUGCUGCGGGUUCCGGCCGUAAAAAGCCUUAUUUACCCAAGGUUGACCUCGGAUCAGGUAGGGAUACCCGCUGAACUUAAGCAUAUCAAUAAGCGGAGGA
rnacentral:misc_RNA from 1 species